AAUACAGCAAUGUGGAGCGAAUCUCAAAAAGAUAGUCUCAGUUCGGACUGUGGGCUGCAACCCGCCCACACGAAGUCGGAGUUGCUAGUAAUCCCGAAUCAGCAUGUCGGGGUGAAUGCGUUCCCGGGUCUUGUACACACCGCCCGUCACGCCAUGGGAGUCGGAAGUGCCCAAAGUCGGUGACCUAACCGCAAGGAAGGAGCCGCCUAAGGUAAUGCCGAUGACUGGGUGAAGUCGUAACAAGGUACC
rnacentral:rRNA from 1 species